rnacentral:misc_RNA from 1 species
GGCUGGAUCACCUCCUUUCUAAGGAGACUUCUGGCUAGACCAGAUAAGUCUUUCUAGGUCAAUCCCACAAUUGACAAAUCUACUAUUCAGUUUUGAGAGACCAGACCCUGGCAGCAGGGUUUUUCGUUCUUUAUAAACAAGCGUAACGUGGUUAGCGAUAACUAUGGGCUAGUAGCUCAGCUGGCUAGAGCACACGACUGAUAAUCGUGAGGUCGGAGGUUCGAGUCCUCCUUGGCCCACCAAUUAUCAAUCAACCGCACCUGUACAUUGGGGGCGUAGCUCAGCUGGGAGAGCACCUGCCUUGCACGCAGGGGGUCAUCGGUUCGAUCCCGUUCGCCUCCACCAAUUUAGGUAAAUAGGUUGAAGGUAGAAGGCUGAUAGGUUUUAAACCUAAAAGUCUUCAGCCUUCAGUCUUCAGCCUGAAGUAAGUUUGUUCUUUGACAAUUGCAUAUAUUCAACUGAUUUGUAGAAAGCAUGAAACAUCUUAGGGAUGUGAAGUGCGUACUUAUAGUAAUAAACUUGAUUGUAUUACAGUUUUUUAUGGUCAAGCUACUAAGGGCGUACGGUGGAUGCCUAGGCAGAGAGAGGCGAUGAAGGACGUGGUAAGCUGCGAAAAGCUUCGGGGAGCCGCUAACAGGCUUUGAUCCGGAGGUGUCCGAAUGGGGAAACCCGGCAGAGGUAAUGCUCUGUCACUGUACAGUGAAUACAUAGCUGUAUAGAGCGAACGCGGGGAACUGAAACAUCUAAGUACCCGCAGGAAAAGAAAACAAUAGUGAUUCCGUAAGUAGCGGCGAGCGAACGCGGAACAGCCCAAACCGAUACUAAUUCGUUGGUAUCGGGGUUGUGGGGCCCCGACAUGGGAUUGAUGAUGGGUAGGAGAACGGUCUGGAAAGUCCGGUCAUAGUGGGUGAUAACCCCGUAUCCGAAACCUUGAAUCACCCUAGGGUGUCCCCGAGUACCGCCAGGCACGUGAAACCUGGUGGGAAUCCGGGAGGACCAUCUCCCAAGGCUAAAUACUACUCUCUGACCGAUAGUGAACCAGUACCGUGAGGGAAAGGUGAAAAGCACUCCAAUAAGGAGGGUGAAAUAGAACCUGAAACCGUAUGCCUACAAGCAGUAGGAGCACCAUGUAUAUCAGGUGUGACUGCGUGCCUUUUGCAUAAUGAGUCAGCGAGUUACGCUCAGCAGCGAGGUUAAGCUCAUAGAGUGGAGCCGAAGGGAAACCGAGUCUUAAUAGGGCGCCAUAGUUGCUGGGAGUAGACCCGAAACCGAGUGAUCUAUCCAUGUCCAGGGUGAAAGGAAGGUAACACUUCGUGGAGGCCCGAACCCACUAACGUUGAAAAGUUAGGGGAUGAGGUGUGGAUAGGAGUGAAAGGCUAAUCAAACUCGGAGAUAGCUGGUUCUCCCCGAAAUAUAUUUAGGUAUAGCCUCGGGGGUUAAGUAACGGGGGUAGAGCACUGAAUGGGCUAGGGGUCUCACCAGAUUACCAAACCCAAUCAAACUCCGAAUACCGUUAACUGCGACCCCGGGAGUCAGACUGCGGGUGAUAAGAUCCGCGGUCGAAAGGGAAACAGCCCAGACCGUCAGCUAAGGUCCCAAAAUCCAUGCUCAGUGGAAAACGAUGUGGAAACGCCCAGACAACCAGGAGGUUGGCUUAGAAGCAGCCACCCUUUAAAGAAAGCGUAAUAGCUCACUGGUCAAGUGGGUCUGCGCGGAAAAUGUAACGGGGCUCAAGCAUGGUACCGAAGCUACGGAUUCACACCUUAAGGUGUGAGUGGUAGGGGAGCAUUGUGUAAGUCUGCGAAGGUCGAUCGUAAGAACGGCUGGAGAUAUCACAAGAGAUUAUGCUGACAUGAGUAGCGAAAAACAAGGUGAAAAACCUUGUCACCGAAAACCCAAGGUUUCCUGCGUAAAGGUAAUCUGCGUAGGGUUAGUCGGUCCCUAAGGCGAGGCCGAAAGGCGUAGUUGAUGGGAAACAGGUUAAUAUUCCUGUACCUCUUAUUAUUGCGAUGGGGGGACGGAGAAGGGUAGACGAUCCAGGCGCUGGUAGUCCUGGUUUAAGCGUGUAGAUGGGGAGGGCAGGCAAAUCCACUCUCCCUUUAACAUCAAGGCGUUAUGACGAGAGCUUAAGCUCACAAAGUCGUUGAUCCCAUGCUUCCAAGAAAAGCCUCUAAGCUUCAGAUAGUAAGAGACCGUACCGUAAACCAACUCAGGUGGGUGAGGAGAAUAUCCUAAGGUGCUUGAGAGAACACUGGUUAAGGAACUCGGCAAAAUGACACCGUAACUUCGGGAGAAGGUGUGCCUCUAAUAGGUGAAGCGAUUUACACGUGGAGCCGACGGAGGUCGCAGAGAAAUGGCGGUAGCGACUGUUUACUAAAAACACAGGACUCUGCUAAGACGAAAGUCGAUGUAUAGGGUCUGACGCCUGCCCGGUGCUGGAAGGUUAAGGGGAUUUGUUAGUCGCAAGGCGAAGCUUUGAACCGAAGCCCCAGUAAACGGCGGCCGUAACUAUAACGGUCCUAAGGUAGCGAAAUUCCUUGUCGGGUAAGUUCCGACCUGCACGAAUGGCGUAACGAUUUCCGCGCUGUCUCAACCAGUGGCUCAGCGAAAUUGAAUUCUCGGUGAAGAUGCCGAGUACCCGCGGUAAGACGGAAAGACCCCGUGAACCUUUACUACAGCUUGACAGUGACAUUCGAAUUAGUUUGUGUAGGAUAGGUGGGAGACUAUGAGCCCGGGACGCCAGUUUCGGAGGAGUUAACCUUGAAAUACCACCCUGAUUGAUUUGGAUGUCUAACCAGGUCCGUGAUCCGGAUCGGGGACACUGUCUGGUGGGUAGUUUGACUGGGGCGGUCGCCUCCCAAAGAGUAACGGAGGCGCG